GCCCGUGUAGUAUGGUGGCGGAAUUGGAAACGACCGUAACGCUUUCUUAACAGCGUAGGACACCUUAGCUAUGCGGGUUU
rnacentral:sRNA from 1 species